UACGAAGGGGGCUAGCGUUGCUCGGAAUCACUGGGCGUAAAGGGUGCGUAGGCGGGUCUUUAAGUCAGGGGUGAAAUCCUGGAGCUCAACUCCAGAACUGCCUUUGAUACUGAGGAUCUUGAGUUCGGGAGAGGUGAGUGGAACUGCGAGUGUAGAGGUGAAAUUCGUAGAUAUCAAGCGGAACACCGGUGGCGAAAGCGGCCCCCUGGCCCGGUCCUGACGCUGAGGCGCGAAAGCGUGGGGAGCAAACAGG
rnacentral:rRNA from 1 species